UGCGUGGAUAGGGUCGCUCCCGAUAAGCCGUUACCCUGACGGUUUCCACGCAAUCUAAAAUUCAGGG
rnacentral:ncRNA from 1 species